rnacentral:lncRNA from 1 species
UUUAAAAAGGCAUAGAGAGAACGUCUCUGGUAGGCUUUGGAAAUGUUUCUGUCCAAAAUGAUUUAAAAAAAUGGUUAAAAAAAAAAGUUUUGGCACUUAAGAGGGGUAAGCUGGCUGUGUGUUCACCCUGGCAGGCUGACGUGCGUUCAGUGUCCCGCCAAGCCGGUGAGCUGAGCUGCCAUGGAAUUGUGAACUGCUUUGGGACACUGGGCAAAGGCGUGUCCUCUUUUGCCACAGAGGUUGCACACGAUGACCUUCCGGCAGUAAGGGCUCAGGUGUCCCUCUUCCCCGCACCUGAAACACCUGUCCUGAGUGCAGGUGCCGCUCAUGUGGGUCCGGGAACCACACUUAAAGCACGUCUUGGGCUGCCCCUUGUACCAACUGUAGCCCCUCUCCGCUCCCAAGAAGAAGGCCCCGGGCAGGUGCCUCACUCCGCCCUCCCCCUGGCGCAGCUCGAUCUCACACUUGUACUCCCCGGUCCAGAUCCCAAACCUGUCGGUCACUUUCACGGGCACGGCCAGCACGUCGCAGUGUCGCUUGAGCCAGGUCACGAUGUCCUCCACGUCCACGGUCUCGUUCCGGAAGAGGAUGAAGAGGGUCUUCAAGCUGGACUUGCUCCGCCCCAAGACCACAAAGUUCUCCCAGCAGUCCUCCAGCUCUCGCUUCUCCUCGUAGACGCGGAGAAACAGGGCUAGUUUUUCUGCGGAUCGGAAGCUCACGUCGAACUCACGGCUGCCGGGGAUCUGAAUGACUGCGUAGAUGUCGUCAGGGUCCAUGCCGAUGGAGCGAAGGAUGAGCGCACCCACCACGAAGUCCCGGGUCGGACACGCACUCUCGUCUCCCUGGAAACAGAUGCGCACGAGGAAGCGGCCCUUACCCGGGCCAGCAGCCGGUGGCUCGUCCUGUAGCGGCCGCUCGGUUGCAUCUUCGGUCGCGCCGGACCUGGCGGGGGUCGGCAUGGCCGCCGACACGUCGGCCUUCUUCCUUCGACUCGGGUCUCCCGCGCUGCUCGCGCCCUUCUUCCUGUAAGCGUCUGCCGCCUCACCCGUAGGGUCUCUGCGGCGGCCCUUUGGGUCCCCGCGAGCCGCAGGUGGGAAGUCGCCGGGGUUCGGGGCGGCCAGACUCCCGGAGCUGCCGAGCCCGCCACUCGCACCGCUGCCUGCUUCGUCGCGCCGCCGCGGCUCGCGGAAGUCGCCCUUCUUCUCCGCCAGGUUCUUAACCACCUGGGCCCAGCCCAUCUUCUCGCGGACGCCCUCGGAUUCCUCGGCGCGGGCCACGGGGCGCGCGGGGAGCGGGAGCUCCGGCCGACCCCGCUGUGGCUCCUCCUCCGCUCCACUGCCGG